CCUACGGGUGGCAGCAGUGAGGAAUAUUGGUCAAUGGACGAGAGUCUGAACCAGCCAAGUAGCGUGAAGGAUGACUGCCCGAUGGGUUGUAAACUUCUGUUAUAUGGGAAGAAAAUGUUACACGUGUGGGAUUUUGUAUGUACCAUAUGAAUAAGGAUCGGCUAACGCCGUGCCAGCAGCCGCGGUAAUACGGAGGAUCCGAGCGUUAUCCGGCUUUAUUGGGGUUAAAGGGAGCGUAGGUGGAUUGUUAAGUCAGUUGUGAAAGUUUGCGGCUCAACCGUAAAAUUGCAGUUGAAACUGGCAGUCUUUAGUACAGUAGAGGUGGGCGGCAUUCGUUGUGUAGCUGUGACAUGCUUAGAUAUCACGAAGAACUCCGAUUGCGCAGGCAGUUCACUGGACUGCACCUGCCACUGCUGCUCGACAGUGUUGGUAUCAAACCGGAUUAGAUCCCCUAGUCGUC
rnacentral:rRNA from 1 species